UACGUAGGGUGCGAGCGUUUAAUCGGAAUUACUGGGCGUAAAGCGUGCGCAGGCGGUUUUGUAAGUCAGAUGUGAAAUCCCCGAGCUCAACUUGGGAACUGCGUUUGAAACUACAAGACUAGAAUAUGUCAGAGGGGGGUAGAAUUCCACGUGUAGCAGUGAAAUGCGUAGAGAUGUGGAGGAAUACCAAUGGCGAAGGCAGCCCCCUGGGAUCAAUAUUAGAC
rnacentral:rRNA from 1 species